rnacentral:rRNA from 2 species
AUACUCCCUAGUGAUCGAUAGUGAACCAGUACCGUGAGGGAAAGGUGAAAAGCACCCCGGAAGGGGAGUGAAAGAGAUCCUGAAACCGUGUGCCUACAAAUAGUCAGAGCCCGUUAAUGGGUGAUGGCGUGCCUUUUGUAGAAUGAACCGGCGAGUUACGAUCCCGUGCGAGGUUAAGUUGAAGAGACGGAGCCGCAGCGAAAGCGAGUCUGAAUAGGGCGUUUAGUACGUGGUCGUAGACCCGAAACCAGGUGAUCUACCCAUGUCCAGGGUGAAGUUCAGGUAACACUGAAUGGAGGCCCGAACCCACGCACGUUGAAAAGUGCGGGGAUGAGGUGUGGGUAGCGGAGAAAUUCCAAUCGAACCUGGAGAUAGCUGGUUCUCCCCGAAAUAGCUUUAGGGCUAGCCUUAAGUGUAAGAGUCUUGGAGGUAGAGCACUGAUUGAACUAGGGGUCCUCAUCGGAUUACCGAAUUCAGUCAAACUCCGAAUGCCAAUGACUUAUCCUUAGGAGUCAGACUGCGAGUGAUAAGAUCCGUAGUCAAGAGGGAAACAGCCCAGAUCGCCAGCUAAGGUCCCAAAGUGUGUAUUAAGUGGAAAAGGAUGUGGAGUUGCUUAGACAACUAGGAUGUUGGCUUAGAAGCAGCCACCAUUUAAAGAGUGCGUAAUAGCUCACUAGUCGAGUGACUCUGCGCCGAAAAUGUACCGGGGCUAAAUACACCACCGAAGCUGCGAAUUGAUACCAAUGGUAUCAGUGGUAGGGGAGCGUUCUAAGUGCAGUGAAGUCAGACCGGAAGGACUGGUGGAGCGCUUAGAAGUGAGAAUGCCGGUAUGAGUAGCGAAAGACGGGUGAGAAUCCCGUCCACCGAAUGCCUAAGGUUUCCUGAGGAAGGCUCGUCCGCUCAGGGUUAGUCAGGACCUAAGCCGAGGCCGACAGGCGUAGGCGAUGGACAACAGGUUGAUAUUCCUGUACCACCUCUUUAUCGUUUGAGCAAUGGAGGGACGCAGAAGGGU